AAGGACUUGGUGAGCUGUGUGGGCUGGACCACAGCUGACGAGCUCUACUCCUGCAGCGAUGACCACCAGGUGAUGAAAUGGAACCCUGUGACCAGCGAGACCACUCGAGUGCUGAAGCUUCCAGAUGAUGUUUAUCCCAUAGAUCUGCACUGGUUUCCCAGAGGGAUUGGUGGCAAGAAGCAAUCCCAGGCUGAGAGCUUUGUUCUGACGAGUUCUGAUGGUAAAUUCCACUUGAUUUCCAAGCUGGGAAGAGUGGAGAAAAGUGUAGAAGCACAUUGUGGAGCUGUCCUUGCAGGAAGGUGGAAUUAUGAGGGAACAGCCCUGGUUACAGCUGGGGAAGAUGGCCAAGUGAAAAUCUGGUCUAAAAGUGGAAUGCUGAGAUCCACUCUGGCUCAGCAAGGAACUCCAGUGUACUCAGUGUCCUGGGCACCUGACUCUGACAAAGUUCUCUACACCUCAGGGCAGCAGCUGAUUAUUAAACCCCUCCAGCCAAAUGCUAAAGUUCUGCAGUGGAAAGGCCACGAUGGGCUGAUUUUGACAAGUGACUGGAAUUCCGUGAAUGAUCUGAUCCUUUCUGCAGGGGAAGAUUGCAGAUACAAGGUCUGGGACAGUUUUGGCCGUGCCCUGUACAAUUCCCAGCCCCACGAGUAUCCCAUCACUUCCAUUGCCUGGGCUCUGGAUGGGGAAUUAUUUGCUGUGGGAUCUUUCAACACUUUACGUCUCUGUGAUAAAACUGGGUGGUCUCAUGCCCUGGAGAAGCCCAGCACUGGCAGCAUUUUUGCCAUUUCCUGGUCCAUCGAUGGCACGCAGCUGGCCGGAGCCUGUGCCAACGGCCAGGUCAUCUUUGCCCACGUGCUGGAACAGCACUGGGAGUGGCACAACUUCCAAAUUACCUUAAUUAAGAGAAGAACCAUGAAGGUGCACAACGUCAUCAACGACGCCGUGGAUUUGUUGGAAUUCCGGGACAGGGUCAUUAAAGCCUCCCUGAAUUAUGGAUAUUUGGUGGUCUCCACUUCCCUGCAGUGUUACGUGUUCUCGACAAGGAACUGGAACACUCCUUUGAUUUUUGACCUGAAGGAAGGAACUGUGAGUUUGAUUCUCCAAGCAGAAAGGCAUUUUCUUCUGGUGGAUGGUGGAGGACUUUAUUUAUAUUCCUAUGAAGGCAGAUUGAUUUCCUCUCCAAAAUACCCAGGCAUGAGGACAGACAUUUUAAAUGCCCUGACAGUGUCCCUGAGCAAUGACACCCUGGCAGUGAAGGACAAGGCUGAUGAGAAGGUUAUUUACAUCUUUGAAGCUUUAUCUGGGAAGCCACUGGGUGAUGGAAAACCUCUGACCCACAAGACAGAGAUUGUGGAGAUUGCUUUGGACCAGAAAGGACUGACAAGUGAGAGAAAAAUAGCUUUUAUUGAUAAGAACAGAGAUCUUUUCAUCACCUCCGUGAAAAGGUUUGGGAAGGAGCAGAAGAUUGUCAAAAUAGGGACAAUGGUGCAGAGUUUGGCCUGGAAUGACACCUCCAACAUCCUCUGUGGGAUUCAGGAUUCCAGGUUCACGGUCUGGUAUUAUCCCAACACAGUCUACGUGGAUAAAGACCUUCUCCCAAAAACCCUGUAUGAAAAAGAUGCCAGUGAGCUCAGCAAGGCCCCUCAGAUCGUGAGCUUUGUGGGGAGCCAGGUCACCAUCAGGAGGGCGGACGGGUCCCUGGUGCACCUGCACGUCUCCCCUUUCCCCGCCAUCCUGCACGGCCACGCCGGCGCGUCCCGCUGGGAGCACGGGCUCCGGCUCUGCCGGUUCCUCAAGGAUCAGACCCUGUGGGCCUGUUUGGCUGCCAUGGCAGUGGCCAGCAGGGACAUGAGCACGGCCGAAAUCGCCUACGCGGCCAUCGGCGAGGUUGACAAAGUGCAGUACAUCAAUUCCAUCAAGGAGCUGCCCUCCAAGGAGUCCAGGCUGGCUCACACGCUGCUCUUCAGCGGGAACGCGCAGGAGGCGGAAACGCUCCUGCUGCAGUCAGGCCUGGUGUACCAAGCUAUCCAAAUCAACAUCAACCUUUACAACUGGGAAAGGGCCCUGGAUCUGGCAGUGAAGCACAGGACGCACGUGGACACGGUCCUGGCUUACAGGCAGAAAUUCUUGGAGGAUUUUGGGAAAAAAGAAACCAACCAAAGGUUUUUGCAAUAUGCAGAAGGUCUGGAAGUGGACUGGAAUAAAAUCAAAGCCAAAAUAGAGAUGGAAAUUGCUAAAGAAAGAGAACGAGCAGCAGCCAGUGCUGCAGGGAGGAGCAGUGUGACUGUGCAGCAAUAAUUCACAUUUUGGGUACCUUCAAAGUGCUGCUUCCAUAUUUGAUACUGGCAAUAAAUCUUUGAGAUCUGGAUUUGUCUGUGGGAUUUCACCCUUUGGGACUGGAACAGGAGGAAGGUUUGAAUCAUCUGACGUGAAAAUUGGAUUUUACAGAUUAUGUGGAACUGUUUCCUGCAGAAAAAACUGGUUUGCUUUGCCGUUAGAGACACCUUCAAGGGAGAGGAAGGGAAGCGCUCGUGGCUGCUGCUCCCGCGCUGGGCGCAUCCUCAGUUCCAAGUGCUGAAGUCAAGCUAGGAAGGGCAGACAGAAGUUUUGCAGGGGAUGGACAACUAUUGAUCCUGCAAAUGACCCCUGCAGAAAUCCAUCGAUCCUUUUGGAGCAGCAGAUCAUUAAGGCUCGACUUCCAGACCUUUCAGGUGGUGCCAAAGUGCUGACACAGCAAAACAACCAUUUGACGGUGUCAUUGUCCCCGGGACCGUUGGCAUUUGGGGAACUCCAAACUCCUCCCCACGGGAAGCUGCUCCAUAAAAUGCUCUUUGCACAGCGAUGCUUCACGUCUGAAUUCCCCUUGAUGUGUUUUUUCCCUCAAAUAUGGGAAAACUGCUCAGGAAAAAACAUCAGGAUGACCUGAGGUUUGUUUUUUUUGGGAAGACUCUGAAAGCCUCACAUGUUUGGUAGCUGGAAAAAUCCCAUGGACUGAUGGAGGGAAGCACAGCUGUGGAUGUUGGUAGGAACAAGCCCAGCACUCUCAGCUUCAAUGAUAUUUUAAUAUCUGAUAGAUCCAAACCUUGUGAUAAUUGAGGCUUUUACAGAAAUUAUGGAGCAAAUGGCUGCUGCACUGGAGGUUGGACAGGAAAUCCGUGGCUGCCACAUCCCUGGAAGUGUCCAAGGCCAGGUUGGAGCACCCUGGCAUGGUGGGAGGUGUCCCUGCCUAUGGCACGGUGGAAUGGGAUGAGCUUGAGGGUCCCUUCCCAACCAAAUCUUUCCAGGGUUCCAUGAAAAUCAAACACAGCCUGGUGGAAACCUCCUCCAAGACCAAAAUAAUCCUUAAACCCUUCUUAAUAGAACAAAGUAGUUCUUAAUAUUCCUGUAGAAGCUCGCAGGGCAGCUCCUAAGGAAGCCCAUCCAUCAGCAGGGAGCUCGAGCAGGGCUCAGGGACAGCUCUGAACUGCUGGAGCCAAACCCCAGAGCUGAGCUCCAGCGCCUCCCCCUUCUCAAGCACAUCUGUAACUGCAAUAAGGCCCAAAACCCGAGGAGAUGACUCUGCAAAUGUAAAAAAACUCCACCAGCCAUUACCUCACAGCUCAGAAAUCUCCUCUGCCAGCAAAUAUUUGCUGUUGGGCUGUUUAAAACCCAGGGAAAAUGAGAGAGAGAGGCUGAAACCCUCCUGGACAGCUCUGAUUCCUUCCCAGGCUGUUAACAAGUUUGGGUGACCUCCAGAAAUGGAAUGUGUUUUCUGUAAUAAAUCAGUCAGAUCGAAUAAAUAAAUAAAAUUCA